CCGACAGGCCUGUGCCGCCGGUGGCGUGCGGGCCGUUACCUCCCGCGCAUGCUCUAUGGGGUAGAGACGCUAGGCCGGCACUGCCAAGGUGGGCCCGGCGGUGCGAGGGUCGCCUUUCAGCCUUUAUCUCUACCCACUGAAAUGGAGUAGGGCGGUGAGCGCCGAUCUGCUGGAGAAUGUCAUUAUUCCAUCGGCGCUCUGCCUGCUCCUGGCCUCCAAGCCUCUGAAGCCCCUCGGGUUUCAGCUGCCGGCUACCCCCGAGCCCGUGGUGCCCACGAGGGAGGCGACUUGACGUCAGCGGCCCUGGGCUGAGAUUUGAGAACACGACCAAGUGGAGAAUGUUGGAGCCAGAUUUUAAAAUCCUUGUCUUCCUUCUGCUUGCUACUUGAUCUAAAUGAGAUACGGCAAAGUCACAGAACCUGUUUUUAUGUUUUUGCCUGAUUCAUACGGGCUUCUCCGGUGAAGAUGGGCUGAAGUAACGCUUGGGUUGCUUCUGACGUUAUAACUCAUCCUGUAGCUGCAGCAACCGUGGUCCUUGCAACCGCAUAAAAAUGUUGCCAGCAUUGUUUCGAUAGUGCUGCUUAAUUCUUGGAAGGCCUCUUUGCUUUCUUCCCUGAGGUUCUUUGGACUUCACACAUUCCAGCAGUAGCUCUCUCAGCUCCUGUCCUGCACAGCUUUGAAGUGUUGGUGAUGUCACUGAACUCUUAAGUGCAAGAUGAAACAAGUCUUUCUGGGGUUCCAAGUAGGACACAGCCCUGGUGAUGGCUUUCUGAGGAUGACACGAUGGAGGCUUCCCCAAUAGCUCUAAAACUGCGGUGUGGAAAACAUUUGGCAGCCUCAAAGAGCGGUCUUGUUGACCCCAACUAUAUCAUUUUUCAUCAAAAUCAUUCUUGUAAAGAAUGACCAGGCAACACUCUUUGAAAAUUGGAGACCAUUUGCAGCUGCUCUCUGUUGAGGAAAGUGAAUAAUAGGGUGCCCUCAAGGAAUUGCAAAGGUAUCACUCAACAGAAACUUUCGUGUCUGAAGAAAACUAGAUCAUUUUAUCAUGGUAGGCAUGCUGAUAUGUUUGCUUUAAUAAAAUGCCAUAUUUCUGCCUUUAAUCUCUUGUCAACCCGCUAUUAAAAAGCCCCAAAGUGCAUGCGUGCAGCACAUGUAAACACUUGUGGUUUUGAGGUUACCACAGAACAUACUAAUAAAGCAUGUAAUUUGUGUUUUGUGCACA